UCUUUGGUGGCCGAGAUAUUUAGGCAGUAGACUGUAGAUCUACCUACGGGAUCAACUCUCUCAAAGAA
rnacentral:tRNA from 1 species